rnacentral:rRNA from 1 species
UACGGAGGAUGCAAGCGUUAUCCGGAAUGAUUGGGCGUAAAGCGUCCGCAGGUGGCGAUGUAAGUCUGCUGUUAAAGAGUCUAGCUCAACUAGAUAAGAGCAGUGGAAACUACAUAGCUAGAGUACGUUCGGGGCAGAGGGAAUUCCUGGUGUAGCGGUGAAAUGCGUAGAGAUCAGGAAGAACACCGGUGGCGAAGGCGCUCUGCUAGGCCGUAACUGACACUGAGGGACGAAAGCUAGGGGGAGCGAAUGGG